GGCUUAGAGUUUGAUCAUGGCUCAGGAUAAACGCUGGCGGCGCACAUAAGACAUGCAAGUCGAACGGACUUAACCAUUAGUUUACUAUUGGAGCGGUUAGUGGCGGACUGGUGAGUAACACGUAAGCAACCUGCCUGUUAGAGGGGAACAACAGUUAGAAAUGACUGCUAAUACCGCAUAUGCCUUGAGUAUCGCAUGGUACAAGAGGGAAAGGAGCAAUCCGCUAACAGGUGGGCUUGCGUCUGAUUAGAUAGUUGGUGGGGUAACGGCCUACCAAGUCGACGAUCAGUAGCCGGACUGAGAGGUUGAACGGCCACAUUGGGACUGAGAUACGGCCCAGACUCCUACGGGAGGCAGCAGUCGGGAAUAUUGCGCAAUGGAGGAAACUCUGACGCAGUGACGCCGCGUGCAGGAAGAAGGUUUUCGGAUUGUAAACUGCUUUAGACAGGGAAGAACAAAUGACAGUACCUGCAGAAUAAGCUCCGGCUAACUACGUGCCAGCAGCCGCGGUAAUACGUAGGGAGCAAGCGUUAUCCGGAUUUAUUGGGUGUAAAGGGUGCGUAGACGGGAAGUCAAGUUAGUUGUGAAAUCCCUCGGCUCAACUGAGGAACUGCAACUAAAACUAACUUUCUUGAGUGCUGGAGAGGAAAGUG
rnacentral:rRNA from 1 species